CCGUUGAAAAAUAGCCGUUUAUCAACGCUCUCCGAAGGCGUUGAUCGGGGUUCGAUUCCCCGAUGGCUCACCA
rnacentral:tRNA from 1 species